UACGGAGGGUGCGAGCGUUGUCCGGAAUCACUGGGCGUAAAGGGCGCGUAGGCGGCUUGGGAAGUCCGUGGUGAAAGCCCGAGGCUCAACUUCGGGUCGGCCAUGGAUACUCCUGGGCUCGAGCACUGUAGAGGCAGGUGGAAUUCCGGGUGUAGCGGUGGAAUGCGUAGAGAUCCGGAAGAACACCGGUGGCGAAGGCGGCCUGCUGGGCAGUAGCUGACGCUGAGGCGCGACAGCGUGGGGAGCAAACAGG
rnacentral:rRNA from 1 species